rnacentral:rRNA from 1 species
UACGAAGGGGGCUAGCGUUGCUCGGAAUUACUGGGCGUAAAGGGCGCGUAGGCGGCGCUGCUAGUCAGGCGUGAAAUUCCUGGGCUUAACCUGGGGGCUGCGUUUGAUACGGCAGUGCUAGAGGACGGAAGAGGGUCGUGGAAUUCCCAGUGUAGAGGUGAAAUUCGUAGAUAUUGGGAAGAACACCGGUGGCGAAGGCGGCGACCUGGUCCGUUACUGACGCUGAGGCGCGACAGCGUGGGGAGCAAACAGG